rnacentral:lncRNA from 1 species
GUUAAAGUAUGUGUUGGACAAAAAUCGGCCAUCAGAAGAACUGAUCAUAAAGCAAGGCCAAAUUUGCCUCACACGAGAAGACUUCUGGAGCCUGGGUUUAAGCCAGUACAUGGAAUCUAAUGUGCGUAUGUUUAGUGUCUUAAUUUACUGCACAAAAAAACAAAUUCCUAGAUAAUGCAUAAUGUUACACAUAGCAGCUUUGACAGGGAUGUAAUUGUUCUGCAAUACAUUUCAGAUCGGAAAUGCCUGCCUCAAGAUUGUGGAAGAAGCUACACGAAGACAUGGAAAAAAUGUUCACAUUGUGGACCUCUAUGCUGUUCCCACCUGGAAAGACAAAAAUGUGGACCCAGUGCAUUGUUUGCCUACACAUUGCAACCUUCAUUGACCCAGGAUCCUGGACUGAAAAAACAGGAAGAGACCUUGAGGUAUGUUUAAAAUUAUGGAAUUGUGUAAUUUAAACUCUUUCCAUCUUGUGAAGAAAAA